rnacentral:ribozyme from 14 species
CUUUUUUUUGUCAACGUUCUUCUUCAACAUCCCCAACUUCUGCACAUCCGUUUAUAGGAGCUUGACCAAGACAGUCUCGGACAGCACCGAAAUGAUUAAACGAAAAGGAUAAAUAAAAAUGUAACACCAAGUCUUCUUCUUUAUUAUUUUCAUUUUAGGUAAAGAAUAAAAAAAAGAAGAUAAGAAAAUGUCAUACC